AUUGAACGCUGGCGGCAGGCCUAACACAUGCAAGUCGAGCGGCAGCGGGAAAGUAGCUUGCUACUUUUGCCGGCGAGCGGCGGACGGGUGAGUAAUGCCUGGGAAAUUGCCCAGUCGAGGGGGAUAACAGUUGGAAACGACUGCUAAUACCGCAUGCGCCCUACGGGGGAAAGCAGGGGACCUUCGGGCCUUGCGCGAUUGGAUAUGCCCAGGUGGGAUUAGCUAGUUGGUGAGGUAAUGGCUCACCAAGGCGACGAUCCCUAGCUGGUCUGAGAGGAUGAUCAGCCACACUGGAACUGAGACACGGUCCAGACUCCUACGGGAGGCAGCAGUGGGGAAUAUUGCACAAUGGGGGAAACCCUGAUGCAGCCAUGCCGCGUGUGUGAAGAAGGCCUUCGGGUUGUAAAGCACUUUCAGCGGGGAGGAAAGGUUGAUGCCUAAUACGUAUCAACUGUGACGUUACUCGCAGAAGAAGCACCGGCUAACUCCGUGCCAGCAGCCGCCGUAAUAC
rnacentral:rRNA from 1 species